rnacentral:rRNA from 1 species
GAACGAACGCUGGCGGCAGGCUUAACACAUGCAAGUCGAACGCCCCGCAAGGGGAGUGGCAGACGGGUGAGUAACGCGUGGGAAUCUACCCAGUUCUACGGAACAACAGAGGGAAACUUCUGCUAAUACCGUAUACGCCCUACGGGGGAAAGAUUUAUCGGAAUUGGAUGAGCCCGCGUAAGAUUAGCUAGUUGGUGGGGUAAUGGCCUACCAAGGCGACGAUCUUUAGCUGGUCUGAGAGGAUGAUCAGCCACACUGGGACUGAGACACGGCCCAGACUCCUACGGGAGGCAGCAGUGGGGAAUAUUGGACAAUGGGCGCAAGCCUGAUCCAGCCAUGCCGCGUGAGUGAUGAAGGCCUUAGGGUUGUAAAGCUCUUUCAGUAGGGAAGAUAAUGACGGUACCUACAGAAGAAGCCCCGGCUAACUUCGU